AACUGUUCCCUCGGCUUCUCCCCCUCACCAACGGCCGAGGGCCUCGUUACUGUUACGCGCGGCGCCUAAACAGCGGCUGCCUUCGCCUCUGGAGGUUUUAACCCCCCGCGCAAGCCCCAGCCCGGGGAAGCGGUGCGAGCUUUCGGCUCCCGAGGGGCGGCCGUGAAGGCGCCGCCGUCCCCGGCCGCAGGGCUGGGGCAGGGUGUCACCCCUCCGGGGCCGCCCGGAACCGCGGCCACGCACGGGCUCCGGUGGUUACCGCCGGGGACUCCCCGCCGGGCGGAGCGGGCGUGGCGGGGCGGGCCCGGCCCGGCGCGGCGCUAAGAUGGCGGCCAAGUCCUCGCACUCACACGUGAAGCUGGAAGGGGAGAUCGAGCGGUGCCGGGCGGAGGGGCACUGGGGGCAGCUCCAGCACCUGGCCCGGCAGCUCCUGCCGCCGGUGCGGCCCCCGCGUAAAGCGGCGGCGGCGGCGCGGGGGGCGCAGGACGCGGAGGACUACGGGAGUAUGCUGCUUGCAGAGGCUCUCCUGGAAGAAUGUUUGAAGGAAAAUUUUGCCAAAGUGAAGGACUCCAUUCCACUGACAGAGAAGAAUGAGCCAAAACUGAGUGAAGCUAAACAGUAUCUUACCAAUAUCUUAAGCAGAGGAAAGCUACGACCUAAGUAUAUGACAGAAGCUAUGCUGAUCCUAGGAAAGCUUCAUUAUGUGGAGGGAUCCUACAGAGAUGCCAUCAGCAUGUAUGCAAAAGCAGGAAUUGAUGACCUCUCAACAAAAGAUGAACCCCUGUACAUGCUGCGUUUGGUAACUGAAGCCUUUGUUAUUAAAGGUCUGUCCCUGGAGCGCUCAACCAACUCAGUUGCCUCACGUGCUCGACUGUGUGAAAGGGAGCAGGAAGUCAUGGCUUGUUUUGAGACAGCGUGUGUCGUUGCCCAGGUAUACUUGCAGGAGCUUGAAAAGACCUUAAACAACACACAUUCAAGGAGUAUCAAAGGCAGCAACUUGACUUACUCUGAGUUUGAACUUUCCUUCUUCCUGGAAGCAGCUCUACAGAGUGCCUAUGUGACUCAUUUAAAGAAGGGAAAUAUUGUGAAAGGAAUGAGGAGUCUGCGAGAAAUUCUACGGACUGUGGAAACAAAAGCUACUCAGACCUUAAAAAUGACUGCAGCCAAGCAGCUAGCCCAAGUACUUCUCCAUUCCCUCAGUGAAGACUGUUACUGGAGCCCUUUAUCUGAUCCGCUUCCUGAGUUCAUGAACAAGGAAGAUCAGUCUUAUGUUAGCAAUCUUCUUUGUCGGAGGCCUGAGCUGUACACAGAAGAGAAUGCAUACUGCCCUCAAGACAACGUAGAAGAGGCUCUUCUUCUCCUCUUAAUCAGUGAAUCCAUGGCAAACCGGGACGCAGUCAUCAGCCGAGCCCCAGACCAGCAGGAUGACCGAGCUGUCAGCCUCCGGGAUGCUUUUGCAGUCUAUGACCUCCUCAGCAUCACACUGGGCAGAAGAGGGCAGUAUGUCAUGCUUUCUGAGUGCUUGGAGAGAGCCAUGAAGUUUGCGUUUGAUGAAUUUCACGUCUGGUACCAGCUUGCCCUGUCCAUGGUGGCUUGUGGAAAGUCAGCAUAUGCUGUGUCAGUGCUCAAAGAGUGUGCUAAACUGCGACCUACGGAUCCCACCGUUCCUCUCCUGGCUGCCAAGGUCUGCAUUGGGUCGCUACACUGGCUGGAAGAAGGAGAAUACUUUGCUAAAAUGGUGAUAGACCUUGGUGAGGAUGCUGGAGAGGCCCUAGCAAAGGGUUACCUGGCACUGGGCCUGACGUACAGUCUUCAAGCUACUGAUGCUACUCUGAAGGGCACUCAGGAUGAAUUAAACAAGAAAGCACUUCAGACUUUGGAGAGAGCACGUGACUUGGCCCCAGAAGAUCACCAGAUCAUCCUCUACCUAUCACUGCAGCUGGCUCUUGUCAGACAGAUUUCUGAUGCUAUAGAACAUCUUCAAGAAGCACUGCAACUGUGCAAAGAUGACAUGAAUUCACUUCAUCUACUGGCCCUCCUCUUUUCAGCUCAGAAGCACUAUCAGCAUGCACUGGAUGUUAUCAACAUGGCUGUUGUUGAAUACCCGGAAAGCUUUAGCUUACUCUUUACCAAAGUAAAGCUGGAAUGGAUACACAAAGGACCUGAAGAGGCUCUGGUGACAUGCAGACAUAUGUUGCAGAUGUGGCAGAUGGUAUAUAAUGUUUUACAGCACAGCGGCUCUGAGAAAGGAAGUAGCGUGACUGAAACACCGGUGAUCAAAAAGCAUAAUGGAAUGCAUCUCACACUCCCGGAUGCUCACGAUACCGAUUCUGGAUCACAGCGAGCCUCUUCCCUUGCUGCAUCAAGACUGGAACAGGCCAUGUCUGAAAUAACUAUGCAGAGCAGCGCAAUGAAGCAAGGACCUAUGCAGCUGUGGACAGCUCUUGAACAAAUUUGGCUACAAGCUGCUGAACUCUUCAUGGAACAACAGCAUCUCAAAGAAGCAGGCUUUUGUAUCCAGGAGGCAGCGAGUCUUUUCCCCACAUCUCAUGCUGUACUGUACAUGCGUGGGAGGCUUGCAGAGAUGAAAGGCAAUUUGGAGGAGGCUAAGCAAUUGUAUGAUGAAGCACUCACAGUGAAUCCAGCUGGAGUGGAAAUUAUGCACAGCCUGGGGCUGGUGCUGAACAGACUUGGGCGGAGGGACCUGGCCCAGAAAGUUCUCAGAGACGCCAUCCGGAUCCAGACCACCAGUCACAGGGCCUGGAACAGCCUUGGAGAGGUUUUGCAAGCUCAGGGGAAAAAUGAAGCGGCCAUCGAAUGCUUCCUCACCGCUUUGGACCUUGAAUCCAGCAGUCCUGUCAUCCCCUUCACUGUCAUACCCAGGGAGCUCUGAAGCUUUGCCCUGCAGCUAAGCACCUUCAUUCCGCGGAUAGACACCAAAACCAAACAAAUAAACAAAGAAAAAGCCCAACAAGAAAGUGCCAUUGUAGCCUGGAAAUCGGCAAAAUAAUUCCAGGAUGGGGCUCAGGCCUACAUGCUGAGCUGAGACAAGCCUAACUGUACAAGAAUUUGCAACAGGCAGAGAUAUAGAAUGCCUUUUUCUUCACAGGUGCCUGGCUAACCUCCUGUUCAAGUUAGGCUUGAGCUAAGCAAGUCAAUCAAGGCUUAUUUCAAAGUGUUGGUUCAAGGUGACUGUCUGUAGAAUAGGUCAUGCUAGAGUACAGCUGUUCUAAGCACUUGCACCUUUCGAUUUUCAUUAAGGAUAAAAACCCCAAGCCCUGAAUUAGAGCCCAGACCUGCUCGAAACAGGAGUAAAUGCACCAAUUAACUUGACCGAGUGGUGCUUAAGCACGUGGCUGCCGCCACACAGAUCUGACAGGAUAGGAAUGACAAUUAAAUAAUAUAGACAUGCAGUAUAUGCCGUUUACAGAAUUAUUUCAGCUAUUUUGAUAAUCCUUUUUCCUGCCUUGCUCUUAUGUACUGCAUAAGCUCACUAUAUUUAGUGUGGUACUUGCCUAGACCGAUUUAAAUUAAAAUUUAUUUUUUUUUAAAGCUGCUAUUGCAGUAUGAUUCACAAAAGCAGAAAGACCAAAGACCAAAUAAGUUCACACUUGAACUAGUAUUAAAAACAUAUAUGUAUCUCCAAUUACAUAUUUAUUGAAAGGGCUUACAUGAAAUAGCUAGUUAUAAACUCAGAGCUUCAUUCUUAUUAAUUACCUAUUGCAUCACUUUUAGUGAGGAAUAUAGUGAUUACCAGUAUAUGGUGACUGAACUUUGUGCUCGACUGCAUUACCAUUCCUGGCACAAAACAUUUCCAUAUCCAUCUUUUCAUGAUAUAAAAGAUGGCAGCAGUCUUUUAAGGGAAAGUAUGCUGAAGGCAGUGUGUGUAUAUAUGAAUUACUUCUGUCUUACAAACCAAAUCUUUGGAUUGUCUGUAGAAAUUUCACAUUAGAGGUACGGAGCUGAGCCUUCAGCGGAGCAGGAUCAUUUUGCCUAUCGUAUCAGAUGUAAGAGUGAUCCCUUCCGAGCCAUUUGAAGAGCUCCUAAUCCGCACAGCCUGCCCAGGGCUGGCCGAGCCGGGGCGGGGGGACGCAGCUGGCAUAGCCCCUGCUAAGCUGCUCCUUAGCUGUGCUUGACCUCCCCGGGGCCUCGGCAGCCAGGCAGAGCUCUACCCUGCUGUCACACCACACGCGACAGCCAGCCCCGGAUGGGCCAGUCCCAAGACGAAGAUGAUGCAGAAAUGAGCUGCGGGCACUUUUCCACAACAAAAGGUUGGGGCUCUGUGCCCGUUUCUGUCCAAAGAAGAUUUGUGACUAUUUCGUACAUAGUUUUGCACUAAAACACACUUUGUACUAUAAUUCUGCCCAGUAUUGUGAUCCGCAACUAGUUCAUUCCGGAAAUAAUAAUAUCCUCAGGCAAUAAAUGAGUAGGGGUUAUUUCUUAAAGAGCCUGAGGCUCUGGCAGCAGACUUGAAGUCAGCGUUGUUUACAAUUAUUUGGAAAUCUGGAGGUUAAUCGAGAGGUGGCCCCUUGUGCUGCUCCCAGACCGCACCAUCGCAGAGCUCCUGUCCCCAGGCAGCUUCAGCUCCUGCCUCCCCUCGGAAGUACACUGCCCUCAGGUUUCUCUCAGCAGCCUGUUGCACUCCCAGGCCAAUAUAUAUAUUUUUUUUUUUCCAUUAAAUCGUGCUGGUGCAAUAGCCCAGCUUAUUCCUCUGUUACUGAGGGAUCUGGAGUGAAAGCAGCCCAGCCUCAAAGGUGCUCAGCCCCCGAAGUCUCUGGCUUUCAAGUGCCACACAGGCACCAAACCGAGCUUUUUAGGCCAGAGGCAGGUUUCCAAGGAGACAGUGUUACCCGGCCGCGUUUCUCCUUUACAAUAGCACCAGCAGCAGAGGAAGGAGUAGGUGUUAAAGUACCAGAAUUAAAUGAGUUUCAUGAAGACGAAAAGACGCAGCAGAGACCCAUUUUGCUGUGAAGGAUGCUAUGAAGUCGGCUUGCUCCGCGCUGCAGACUGGGUAAAACCAACUCAUACAUACAGUAUAUUCCUGCCUCCUGGGAGCCCCAAAUAUUCAGCAGGCCCAUAAACGGCAAGGGAAGGGACGAGAAGCGUCGCUGCUGCUGCUGCCCAGAUACUGGCUUCUGCGACAAUCUCCGGCUGCCAGGUUUUUUUGUGGAGUCACCAAAGCAGCAGUGUUGACUUAGUCUGUGUUGAACCAUAUCCCUCAGGAGAUGUCACAUCCCAGUCAGACGUGCCUGAACCAGUCUCUGGAACAACGGAAAAAUAUACACAUAACCUACUGGUCUUUAAUACUGGUGUUACAGAAAGUAGACGUGGGUAUCACUGGCUUAUUCUGUUGCCAUUAGCAGACACUACUGCAUUUAACUGAGCCGUGGGUCAAACCAGUUUCCUCUGCUAUGUUGUCUCCAAAACGAAGGGCAACAUUUCACAGUCAAAAACAUCCCUGUAGCUCCACUAACUAAAGGGCAAAAGAGCCAAAGGUUUUCUCAGCGCUCCAAGUUAAGCAAGUGUUGCAUUUUGGAGGAAAAAAAAAAAUCCCUUGCAGGUCAUUCCCCUGACUCUGCAGAUCUGAUCCCAUUUAAAACUGAUGUAGCUGCUGCGAUCAUUUGGCUGAUGGAGGAAGAGAAGCAGGUAGAUGGAACAUCUGAAUCCUAUACAGCAAAAAUGGAAAGCACUGUAACAUGUCCUAAAAAAGCAAAAGAGCAGUGAAAAAUGUAAAAUUGAAGGCAUUUUUCCUCACUGAAAAGCUCUCACAAAGGCAAAGUCCAGCUUCACCAGCUUUUCUGAGAGAAACACCCCAAAAUCCCAGGCUGCGAGAGUAAGAGCAAAUGUGAAGCAGCCCCUCGCCAGCCUCCCGACUGCAAAGGCCUCCCUGAACCUUCACUCUGCCUCUGCUCCGCGCCACAGCCAGGGACACAGCCCUGGCCACAGCCCGCCUACGGGCUCGCCACCAGCCCCCUGCCUGGCUCUGGUCACCCCUCAAAGGACGCAGAAUGGUGGCCCUCGAAGCAAAAGUUUCAUUACAUUAUGUGUGACAGGUCAGACAUCAUUUUGUUUUUUUAUAAUCAUAGAAUAGAAUCGUAGAAUGGUUCAGGUUAGAAGGGACCUUAAAGACCAUCUAGUUCCAACCCCCCUGCCCUGGGCAGGGACACCUCCCACUAGACCAGGCUGCUCAAAGCCCCAUCCAGCCUGGCCUUGAACACUUCCAGGGAUGGGGCAUCCACAGCUUCCCUGGGCAACCUGUUCCAGUGCCUCACCACCCCCACAGCAAAGAAUUUCUUCCUGGUAUCCAAUCUAAAUCUCCCCUCUUUCAGUUUGAGGCCGUUACCCUGUAUCCUAUCACUACACUCCCUGAUAAAGAGUCCCUCCCCAUCCUUCCUGUAGGCCCCCUUCAGGUACUGGAAGGCUGCUAUAAGGUCUCCUCGGAGCCUUGUCUUCAGUUGCUUACGCUAUCAUAAUGAGGUCUGGGAACGGGGAUGUCUGUAAAUUAAUCAGCAGUAAGUAUUCCUGUGUUUUGCGGUGCUGUGAGAGGAGCCGACACGCGCAGCCCGCGUUUGCAAGGCCGGGUGCUGUUUCAGAAGGCUGGGAGUUCAAGGAUGUAACGAUUUUCUGGUCAGUGGAGGUUAGAGGUGAUUUUGCGCUCAGUGUAAAUGGCAUUGUCUGGCAGAGACAAUUAGCAAAUGAAGGGCUGCCUCACCAGAGGCUUUGCAGCCCUGGAGUCUCUUCUAGGCUGACAACAAACAGAAAUUCGAGCUGGUGUCUCGGGUUUCCAAAACAGGAAGCUGCUAAAUCCAGCAAGCGAGCAAUUCAUUUCCCAGUUAUAAUGAUGCUGCUCUUAUAUCUCCUAGGACGAUACCGAAGUGUUUUUUCGGAGGGAAUGCAAGGGAGGCAUUUCAUCCCCAUUUUUCACCAGAUGGAAAACCAAGCCCUCCAGGAGUUGAGCCAAGAAGGGGGUGUUUUUCUGUGCAGAACUGGUUAAAUUACUAUGGCUCGGGUUUGGUUCCUUUCUGCAGUCUGCCUCCCACCCCUGGCUACCAUCCCCUACCCACAGCAUGGCGCGGUCCUCCUUCAAAACCUUUUUUUUUUCAGAUUUCUUCUGUGGAGGGGGAGCAAAGGGAAGUUUCCACUUACUUGUUAUAUUAAUGCAGUAUGUAUGACGACUUCUGUAAAUCAGCAGAGCAGCCCACAUUAGACACGUGCUGGUGCAACUACAAAGUACAGAAAGGUACAGGUACCUCAGCCCAAGUGGUCCGGGUCUGGCCUUGGAGUGCUGCUGUGUCAAGGGGGUGACUUAUCACAAACAAAGCUUUUAUUUAUUAAUUUCUUCUGGUUUUCCAUCAUCCCCUCUUGGGUACUUGCAAAGCACUUUCUGUUCAGCCAGCUAACAGAGAAAUAAUAAGCUGGAAAAAAAAAAAUUGUUUCAAGCUACAUUCCAAAGGAAAACUUCUGAUAUUUUCAAGUAAAUAAAGAGCUUAAAAAAACCUUCCAAUUAAACAAAAUAUUGUUCUGACAGGAGUCCUCAAGUAGUAUCUUCAAUAACUCAGAUUUAUAUGACCAGAAGUUUUGAGAGAAUUGCCAGAAGGGAGAGCAUUUUGAAACAAAAAUUCAAGAUGUUUAAUCCUGAAACAAUCUACACAGAACAUUUACAUUUUCCUUUUUGUCUUCCAGCCAAGAACUAUUCACCAAAGUUAUCUCAAGUUUAUAUGUGGCUCCAGUUUUCUGGAACUUUGCUUUUCAGCAAAUACCAUACUUGAAAGAGUUUAGAAGUGUUUACCAGUCCCACUUCUUAUUCUCAGACGUGGCUGAUGCUGGAGCUCCCGGUGUGAAAGCCUUCUCAAGUGCUUCUGCACAACAUUACCAACCAUCACAUCCGCAGUCCAGCAAGCACAGGUUGUUUCCUGGAGAUUAGUACGAGCUGCUGAGUAAACAUCGGCAUGCACUGCUCCACACAAGGUGGGAUUGUCCCCACUGCAAUAAAUACAGACCAGACCCAAGUACUUUUGGAAAUUACACCCUUGUACACAUCUGCAGUUCAGGCGGUGGUGAUUCAAGUCUGUGGCUCUGAGUAAACACGCUCUGAGUAAAAAUUAGUUCUUAAGUAUUUUGGGUCUUGCUACCAAAAGAAGUGCUUUUACGUAUAGCAAAGCACUAGCGAAGUCCUGUAGGGGCAGCACCUGCAGCAGCAGCAGAGCUCCCCUGUGCUACUCCCAACUCCACCGUGCUCCCGGUCACGGCCCACUGCUCAACAGCAGCCUACUGCCGAGCUUCUCAACUUUUUGUGAGCCCUAGGAGCUUUUCAGGGGGUGUCUCCAUUUCUAAGAUUUACUUCUGCAGAUUUCUGCAUGGGAUAUGACCUUUCCAGGAAGGACACGUUUAGGGUCUUGUACUAGUUGGCCAUAGACACCCCCGGGAUCUGUAGCUCGCAGCCUGAAGACUGGGGACUUAGAAAUUUUCUCCUAGAUUCUAUUAGAGCUUCUUAAUUAAAAGUCCUCUUUGGGGACCUGAAUUGAAUUGGAAACCAUGGUGAUCACUUAGGUCAAUCAGCACAGAGAUGAUUGCAUUUGGGAGAGUGAGGUGGAAGAUGAGAAUGUGUGCAUGUUGAAGAGCUUUAAGGAAAAAAAAAAUAAAACAAACCAAAAAACCCCAAACAUCUGUAAAAACAAGGAGCAUGCACGGUUUGCAAAAGAACAAUUAGAAGAUUUGCCUUGCAGGGCUCACCAUUCAGUAUUGAAUUAGAGACUAACAGCUGUCCUACAGCAUUGAAAAAUGUCUUCAACUUACAUGCCUCUGAACAGUUGAUCAAUGGAUUUGACAGUCUGUUGACUUUCUCAAAUCCGUGUAUGCACGUUUGCACUCAUGUUGAUAACUAUGCCAGGAAAACCCAAAUGCUAACUGAGCACCCGUGCUUCCAAUCAUCCCACAAGAAAGAAAGAUGUUGCUACCAACCUAAUAGGAACACAGAAACGUUCAUCCACAUGCAGUGGGUCCCGUAACUUCUUUAUGCAAAAUCUAGAAUGUAAAGAGACGCUCAGCAUCCAGGAAGCAUUUUUGUUCAGGAGUUGAAUUCCACUGUUAAAGUCAGGACGUACUCAUCAGUGAUAAGAUAACGCCGAUAAGAUAUACAAAGUUAUGUUUUAGUUUCAACUUACAAAUCAUUGUACUCUAGCUCCAGGACAAUGAAAUUGGUUUCAAAAUCAGAGCUGUUUCACUAGAAAGACUAGUUCUAAGAUUCAUUGUUUUUCUUACAGAAAAGGAUGACAUGCCACUAAUCUACUUGAGUAUCAUCUUCUUCUCCCUUUCCUCUUAUAGGAGAAAAAUCUAAGAAGGGACAAGGUAUGUUCUUCUUGUGUCUGCCAGAAAUAAGUAACCUUGCUUCAUUUGUCUUUGCAAAUUACGGCGUUUGGAUCAGGAACUUUUACAGAUGAGACACUGCAGUUGUUCAGCCCACGUGUGAAACACUCUGUAUUGCUCUUGAGAAAUCUCACAACGCCGAUACACAGGGUUAACCUGUUAUAACCUGCAGCAGUAAAUAAGAACGUUCACGUAAUUCACAGGAGACUGAAGUCUGUUGAUCCAUAACCUAUCUAAAUUAUCUGUUUAUUACAAGCUCCUUCUUUUCUAAGGUGCACGUUAAACACAAGAGCACAGAGGCUGCAGGAAUUCAGCUCUUCCUCUCUCCAUCACCUUGAUUCCUCCCCCUGCCCCCUUCCAGGUCUUCUGCUUACUUUACGGGCAGUAUCUGCAAUGCCCUCCAUACCCAGCCCUCCUUCCCCUCCCGGAAAAUAUGCCAUACCGAAUUCACAACGUGUAAAGGGUAAAGCAGUAGAUGAUGCUGAAGCAGCAAAGAUUGGAUUUUUUUUUUUUUUGUUUACUCUACAGUUAAGUAAUUGCAAGGCUCAGAUAUGCUGCCAGCUAGAGCACACUCAGCCUCAGGACGACUCCCCCCCUGCCCCAAUGCCAGAUUUUUCACUCAGUGCCAGGGCUUCGGACCUGUAAGGUUAAUAUUGCUUGUCAAUUCAUUUCAGGAUGACAUGGCUUGUACGAUAGGUUUCAUUAUUCCAAGCAGCCUCUUGCUGAAGAUUUGCCCUCAAGGCCAAAGUUUUCUUCUAUUUGUAUUAGUAUCACCUGAAACAUAUCAGUGGAAGUCAGUAACCUCUGUUCUCAGUUACUCUGCAGGUUUAUAAUUACAGCUAUAUAAGAUACAAGCAUGAUGUAGCGUGCAUACAAUGACAUGUAUUUUUCCAACAAAGGCAGAAGCAAUUCUGCACCAGAAACAGUACCAAACCCUACAAAUCUCAAACAUAAAAGAUUCAAGGAACACCACUCUCCUCCAAUACGCUUCAGAGUUGCUGUCCGCUUUCGUUUCCGUUAGUAUGUCCCUGAAUCAAGGCUACGGACUUAAAACCUACUGAACCACAUUUUUCCAUUGCCUUCAUUGUGCAGUGCCCUACGUCCAUGCAGCCAGCAGCACGAUGGCAGGUGAGUCACCCGGAUCACGCCUGCGACAGAUUCUCCUCAGUUGCCUGGGUCACAGCUCUCCCAAUAAACAGGACAGGCCACCGUGAAGGCAGAAGGUCAGGUUACCGAGGUCUCCUGAAAUUUUCAGUGACUAAUCACUAGCUUUUGUUAUCACAAAAAUACUAUCUAAAGCCUCAGAGAUGCUUUGCCGCUGAAAAUAUCUGCUGGUGCGGGUCUGCGCGCACACACGCACCCGGCUUCCUGCGGCAGCGCAUUGCUGUGUGGGUUACCCUGUGCCGAGCGUGCUAUUCCUGAUGCAUCCUGUUUUUACUACUUGCAAAAUUACUAGAGCUGCCGUAUUGCUGCUAGCAGUCUUCCUGACAGAAACAUGUGCACGUCCAGCGCUGUUUUUCUAACCGACGCAGACCUUUUGCCAAAAAGUUGGGCUGCUGUUUUCCCUCAUCUCCGUUUGCUGUUGGAGAAGUAUUUUCCACAGCAAAACGUUCGCCACUGAGCCCUGCGGGCAAAUCCUGAUAAAGGCUAUUCAGUGAAGCUUUCCGCUUGUAAUCAACAUUUGCCCAUGGAAACCAAAGCCCUUUUUUUUUUCUUUUCCCUCUCCAAAGGAGUUAAGUCCGGCGUCAUUUGGUUCUGGUUUCGAAAGCCCUCGCGCGGGGGGACACAUCCUUACUCUUUUACGCACACACAGAUGGGAGAGAGCAGGACGAGCCCUCACUUUUUGCUUUCUAUGUAAUUAGUGUGUUCAGAGGGAACCUGAAUGCUGUACAUUAAUUUUCAAAUCUGGAGCAUGUUUUCAGAUAACGGAGAGAUAUUACUUCAAAACAAAGCAAGGGCAUUAAUAAACACAGUACCAGGAAAUCCACAAAGGUUAAGUGAUUUUCUACAGAGUAAUUCAUUCUCCUAAUGAGUUUGCUGCAGACAGUGCUCUCUGCAAGCAGUUAUUGCGUAUGUAUCUUUAAUUUGUGUAUUUAUAUAAUUCACGGUAGUGCAAAAUAAAUUUCUAUGUGAAGUGUCCUAAUAGAUGAAGUGAGGCUAUAAUACUCUUCCCGAGCUUGUUCAUUACAGUAUGCACUGGCACGGAGUCCCGAGGGAGAGGAAGCCAUUAAACAUUAAGCAAAACAAUUGCUGUCAUCCUCCAGGGGGACCGGCUUUGUAAAUGCUUGUGUUAACACUGUACGAAAUAGUUGAGUAUUGGGGAAAAAUUAGAAUGAUAAAGGGAGGCAAGCACCUUGUCCUCAAUUUCAUGAGGUUGGGUUGGAUAACUAGCAAUAUUUGGAUCUUCCUCCUAGAAGAAGAGAGCUCAUCCUCUCCCAGCCGCACA